AAGAGGUGAGAUGAGCUAAUCACAGACUGAAGACCCAGGUCUCUCUCUGCUCUGAUGGUGAUGUGCUGCAGUAUGAUGAAGACCAGCAGAAGAACACAAAUGAGCCCGAGACCCACUGCGAUCAACACCAAACAUCUACUUCCUCCUGACGAACAUGACCAAAACACACAAAUAUAAUUCAUUGCUCUUCAUGUUAUCAGAAAUAAAGCUUCAAAUCAACUUCUUCUGAUAAACCUGCUCUCUGCUGUACCCUGCUGGACUGGAGGAGAUCUCUCCAAACAGCGAUAGAGUGGUGGAACUGAAACAGCAAAAUCCCGGAGAUCCCUUUUUUUUUCUCUGAGCAUGGGCGAUCAUUCCAGUUCUCCAGGGCAGGAUCUGAAGACAAACCAAUCCACACUCUCUCCUUGACCAAUGAAGAUAUGUGUCUCUGUGUGAAUAGGAAUAACAUGGAAUCAGCUCCACGAUCCCUGCAGUACUGUCUGCUGUCAGACCAGCUCUUCCUCUCAUUGGACAGGAACAAGCCAUCUGGACCCCACCGAUAUCCUGAGAGAAACACAGAGUUUUAAAGCUGGAGUAGACAGUUUCUACACUACUAUGGCGGAAACGCAAAAAUACAUCUUUUUUUUUUUCAAACAACCUUUGCAAAUGCCUCUUUUGGGCAUCAUGCCAACUCAAACUGUGAACAUCUGUGAGUCAUCAACAGUGUUGGGUAUAGUUACUUUGGAAAGUAGUUAGUUAGGUUACAACGUUACCAUCAAUUAAAAGUAAUCAGUUAUGAUACAGCGUUACCUAUUCAUAAAAGUAACGCGUUAGAGUACUCAUGCGUUACCAAAAAUUAAAAGCCGUUUGCAGCGGCUCACACAUGACAGACACAGCCCCCGGCCCCUUUAAAUGCACCUAGAAGUCGUGACUCCCGACAAAGAAUAACGUCAGUCAUCCGACUAAAUUAACACUGCAGGAUAACAAUAACAGGAAAGACAGUCAGCAAUAGGCUAUUCCACAUGGCGUUUUAUUUAUUUAUUAUCACAGAACAUAUUAUUAAUCAAAAUUCGCACCUACCCAGCCCGGGUAGCCUAGGCUACUGUAUAUUAUGAGCACCACAAGAUAACUCCUGAUUUUCCUUUAACUUUACAUAAUGCAGUUAUCAAAGUACAAGUAUGCUUACUUGUAAACACAACCUUAAACAGGCUUGCAGAUUUAAAUCCAUUUAGAAAUGAUGAACAACCAGCCAGCCAAUGAUCUAACAGAAAUUAACAGCUGCCUGUCAAACAAAAAUGAUAACAAACCGAAUUAAAUCCUUCACUGCCACACAGGCAAAUGACAAAUCGCUUAAUAGCCGAACUAAUUAUUAUUAAAGUGUCACUCACAGUCACAAGCCUAAAUUCGCUUUAACACAGUCCUCUUACAUUUACUCUUCAAAGUAGUGAUUAAAACGUAGCGUUAAAUUUGAGGUAGAAUUUUUGGCGGUCGACAGAAGCUUUUCACCAAAGCAGAGUGUGCAUUUUACCGUUAUGUUCUUUUCUUUUUCGUUGACAAAUUGAAAAUAAUGUGCGUACUUCCAUAAACCAAACGCUGUCCUCUCUGCUAUCUUGCCGGGA